AAGCAAGGGAGAACGGAAUGGCGUGUGUAAGUUGAUCGUCGCAAGCAGUAGGUCUACAAACGAAGUAUACGAAAACAUUUUUCGCCAUGCAAUUCUGGUGAAUAGACUGAAACACUUUAAGUCAGUGUCUAGUUCUUGGCUUUAGGGUCACUUCAAGUAUCACCAUGAGUGUCGACACGUACGGUCCGAGCUCACAAACGCUCACGUUUUUAGAAACAGAAGAUGGGACCGACCUUCUGGGUGCAGACACUCAAGGAUCCGAGUUUGAAUUUACUGACUUCACUCUUCCGUCUCAAACACAGUCACAAACCCAGGCGUCUCAGAUCGAACUCCAAAGUCAAAGUCAGAUAAAUGGACCAGACCAGCUGGUACACAAUGGAAUUGACCUUUCCAUCAAGGCCAUCAACCAGGGAAUGGGUGAGCUUAACUUCGAAGAAGAGGAGGAGGACCAGUUCUAUAUGAAGGAUUUGCCCAAACAUGCGUGCGCCUACUGCGGCAUCCAUGACCCAGCAUGUGUUGUGUACUGUAAUACUUCCAAGAAAUGGUUCUGCAAUGGUCGUGGCAAUACUUCAGGGAGCCAUAUCAUCAACCAUCUGGUGCGGGCCAAGGCUAAGGAGGUGACACUGCACAAGGACGGCCCUUUGGGAGAGACUGUGCUUGAAUGUUACAACUGUGGAUGUCGCAAUGUCUUCCUACUGGGCUUUAUCCCUGCAAAGGCAGACACAGUGGUUGUGCUUCUGUGUCGUCACCCAUGCGCCAACUUGUCCAGCUUGAAAGAUAUGAAUUGGGAUCCAAGUCAGUGGCAACCACUCAUACAAGACCGGCAGUUUUUGUCAUGGCUGGUGAAGGUGCCCAGUGACCAAGACCAGAUGCGUAGUCGACAGAUCAGUGCUCAGCAGAUAAAUAAACUAGAAGAGCUCUGGAAGGAAAACCCAGAUGCCAAGUUAGAGGACCUGGAGAAACCAGGUGUUGACGAAGAACCCCAGCAAGUCUUGCUCAGGUAUGAUGAUGCAUACCAAUACCAAAACAUCUUUGGCCCCCUUGUGAAAUUGGAGGCUGAUUAUGACAAGAAACUUAAAGAAUCACAGACUCAGGAUAACAUGGUCGUUCGCUGGGAUGUUGGCCUCAACAAAAAGCGCAUUGCAUACUUUCAUCUGCCCAAGGCAAAUGAUGAGAUGAAACUGAUGCAUGGAGAUGAGCUAAGGAUCCGUUACGUAGGGGAACUUCACAAGCCAUGGUCAGGUGUUGGUCAUGUCAUCAAGAUCCCAGACAACUACAGUGAUGAGGUGGCCAUUGAGCUGAAGAGCAAUGCUGGUGUACCUGUUGAAUGUACCCAUAACUUCGUCGUUGAUUUUGUGUGGAAAUCCACCUCCUUUGACAGGAUGCAGGCAGCCAUGAAGACCUUUGCUGUGGACGAAACAUCAGUGUGGGGCUACAUCUACCAUAAACUGCUGGGUCAUGAGGUUGAGGAUGUUGUGUUAAAAUGCUCCCUGCCUAAACGCUUCUCAGCACCUGGUCUCCCAGAGUUGAAUCAUUCUCAGGUGUAUGCUGUCAAAACAGUCCUGCAGCGCCCAUUGAGCCUCAUACAGGGACCUCCAGGAACUGGGAAGACCGUUACGUCUGCUACCAUUGUUUACCACCUGGUGAAACAGAAUAAUGGUCCUGUGCUUGUCUGCGCCCCCUCCAACAUUGCUGUGGACCAGCUUACUGAGAAGAUCCACAAAACAGGCCUGAAGGUGGUGAGGCUUUGUGCUAAGAGCCGCGAGGCAAUAGACUCCCCAGUGUCUUUCCUGGCAUUGCACAACCAAAUCCGUAGCAUGGACAGUGUUCCUGAGCUGUCAAAGCUGCAGCAGCUGAAAGAUGAGACUGGAGAGUUAUCAUCCACAGAUGAAAAGCGUUACCGCGCCUUAAAGAAGCAGUGUGAAAAAGAGCUGCUGCAGGCAGCUGAUGUUAUCUGCUGCACUUGUGUAGGAGCAGGGGAUCCUCGCCUUGCCAAAAUGCAGUUCCGCUCUGUGCUUAUCGAUGAAAGUACACAGGCAACCGAACCUGAGUGUAUGAUUCCUGUCGUUCUUGGGUGUCGCCAGCUAAUCCUGGUGGGUGACCAUUGUCAGCUGGGCCCAGUAGUAAUGUGCAAGAAAGCAGCGAGGGCUGGAUUGUCUCAGUCACUGUUUGAACGUCUGGUGGUGCUGGGUAUUCGUCCCAUUCGCCUACAGGUGCAAUACCGCAUGCAUCCGGCACUGUCUGCCUUCCCAUCCAACAUCUUUUAUGAGGGCUCACUUCAAAAUGGAGUCACUGCAGCUGAACGUUUACGCAAAAAUCUGGAUUUUCCUUGGCCACAACCGGACAAGCCAAUGUUCUUCUACUGCACAAACGGGCAGGAAGAAAUAGCCAGCUCUGGAACCUCCUAUCUGAACAGGACAGAGGCAGCCAACACAGAAAAGCUGGCUACCCGUUUCUUGAGGGCAGGUGUCAAGCCAGACCAGAUUGGCAUCAUAACACCCUAUGAAGGUCAGCGUGCAUACCAGGUUCAGUACAUGCAGUACUCUGGAGCACUCAACAAAAAACUUUAUCAGGAGAUAGAGGUGGCCAGUGUGGAUGCUUUCCAAGGGCGGGAGAAAGACUUUAUUAUCCUUUCUUGUGUUCGAUCUAAUGAACACCAAGGUAUUGGUUUCCUAAAUGAUCCACGGCGCCUCAAUGUUGCCCUUACUAGGGCCAGAUAUGGAAUCAUCAUUGUUGGAAACCCAAAAGUUCUGUCUAAGCAACCUCUAUGGAACCAUCUGCUGACAUACUAUAAGGAGCAGAAAUGUCUUGUGGAAGGGCCUCUCACCAAUCUUAAAGAAAGCCUCAUUCAGUUCAGCAAACCACGCAAGCUGGUCAACUCUGUCAAUCCGGGUGGUCGUUUCAUGAGCAACACCAUGUUUGAUGCCCGUGAGUUGUUGGUGCCUGGCAGUGUGUAUGACCGGGGUGUGGCCUACAGGGAACCUGUGGUCCAUACUCAUGACCAACUGAACAUGAUUGGGCCAGAGCGUGCCUACACACGUACUUCCAUGAACUUGCCUGUGCCUGUCAACAUGUUUUUGCCUCCUGUGGCCCAGCCCUUUCCACAUCUUCAGCAUUUGCCAACAGAUACUGGGAUUCAGAAGGGCAUUCAUGGUAUGCAUGGCAACAGUUGGGGCUCUGGCCGUCGUCAGAAACCCCCACGCUACAGCAAGCACCAGCAGAACUCCCACAACACGGGUGUCUCACAGCACAGCCAGCCAAGCCAGGAAGUUUCCCAGUCAUUCUCCCAGGGUCCUCUAACCCAGGGCCUGUCCAUGUCACAGGCGUUCCCAAUGAGUCAGACUGGCAUGAGUGGACUCUCGCAGGCAGAGCUGUCUCAGGACAGCUUCCUGGCUGAUGACUUCAAGUCUCAGAUGGAUGGCAUGCUGUCACAGGACUCCACCUACCAGGGAGACCGGCACUUCUAUGCCUCCCAACUCUCACAGGGUCCCUUCAACUAGCCCCCAUUCUCCUUGCCCUCCCAGAUGUGCAUGGGAGGGUGCCGUGAGCACCACUAUCAACAGUGAGGUUACAUCCGCAGUGUCCCGCUUGCCCCUCGGCCAACAAGCAUGGGUGUUGCAGAGCAUUGGCACGGUUGCUCACCAGCAGACCGGCUGCCGCAGAUCCCCAGUAUGGAGAGCAGACGCUCUUGCAGCAACCGUUGCUGCGGGUUGUGUCAGGGCCUGCCUGGCGUCACAUCCACCACCAGCGACUGAAGAGAAAGUCCAUGUCCUCUUGAGGCCAUGAAUUGUCAACUGCCGGUGGCGUGACACAGACACAGCAGUCAACCGCAUACGGAGUUUGGGAGCCACCUUGAACAGAUGGAAAGGGCCAUAUGAGGAGGAGCGUGGAGGAUUUGCUGACACUGCAGGACUUUUUUCCCAACCUCUCGGCAGAGAAGAACUCUCUGUUGGGACCCAGACUGUCGUGUAUUGAAGGUGACACCGUGGUCGCCAGUGGAGGAGGCCAUGGGAAGAGUGGGGAGAGCGUGGUGGCUGAUGGGAUACAGCACAGUUGCAGGAAGGAGAUUCCUGCUUGCAAAGCUGUCCUGGCCACCCCCUCCACUUCACCUACUACACAUUCUAGCGGUUUCUGGGAUUGCUUGGAUGUUUGAUUAUAAUUUGUACACCCACUAACUUUGUCCCGUCUUAUUUUUUUCCGUACUUGGAUUUUGGUUUACUUUCCUAAUCCUUCUCCUACUAAUGCUCCGUCUGUUUUAAACAACCUUUAUCAUGCAAAUUUGUGUUACUGAAUUGCAUUUUUUUUAAUUGUCUUCAUUUUACAUGCUAGGAAUACAGUGAAUAUAGAGGAGAAAAACAUGCCUGUGUUAUUUUGAGUAUAUUAACAUCUAUGGCUACCUGACUGCAACUGGUAAUCCUGCUUUUAUUUUUGAGAGAGAGGGGGGGGGCAGACUUUGAGGAGUAUUAUUUUGAUUUAUUACAUCAACCAUAAACAAAAAAAAAAAAAUCUAUGUGGCAGCAAACUGCCAUCCACCAAACUCGGACAAAGUAUGCACUACAAGUACAUGUAAUCCCCAACCUUCUCCAUUUAAAGUAUUCACAUCCUGUUUCACUACGUAGGGAUAUUUGUCAGUCUUGGUCCUGUACCGUUUUUGGUUUAUUCCGUGUGUCCACACAAUUAUUUCAAGAAAUUAAUGCAACGUAAGUUUUUUUUUUUAUUUAUUUAUUUUUAAAAAAAAAUCCAGAAAUGUUUGGGUUAACACAAGGUCUUGGCUGCUAAUCUUUCAUUUUUCCUUCUCAUCCCUCUCCAGUCGUCACUUUGAAAAUAGGUUGGAUGUGGAGAUCAUUGCUGGUCGGUGUGAGUUUAAGGUACCAUCAGGGCUAGUUGCAAUGUGCAGACAUUUGGCCAGAGCUGCACCUUUGCCACCAUUUAAAUGCACGUUAGGUCAAAGCCUUAUUUUGGCAUUACUUUUAUUCUGUGCUAAAGCAUUCUCAUUAAUGCAUUCAACAUUGAACACCCACACACACUUUCUGUACGGAGCCAUCCCUGAAUCUUUGGUUCCAUGAUGUAUUAUGGUUGGAAUGUUUUACUGCAGAAAAAGUUUUAAAAAUAUUUCUCUUGCGUUUGCAGAUAAAUUUUAAUUUUAAAAUAUUUUAUACAUUUAUGAGGUGCAGACUUGGAGUGUUCACUCAACCGAAAACCGUUUUUGAUGGUUAAGUUCCCCAUUAGAUUAUAGUGCCAAGAAUUGACUUUCCUGUCAUGACCAGCUAGGUACACUAUCUUCAACUUUUUGUUCAUUUACUUGAGGGCUGCGGUGUUAAAGAUUUAAUACGAAGAUUCCUGUUGUAGGUGUGGGGAGCAUUUUUUAAAAAAUCUUUUCCUUUUUAAUCAAAGCUGUUAACUCUAAACAAAGGAUGUGGAAAAAGGAAACAACGCUUGAUUUCUUAUAGGAUGCAAACAGGUUAUGCUCAGUUCAAAACUAUCUCCCCUGUACUUGGUUGGGGUGAAUCUUCUUAGACAGGAUCAUGCUUAGCCAUUGUUGAUGUCAACACAUUUCAGAGAAAAAAAUUAAUCUGUGGCAUUGUGGGAUGCUACUUGUAGUUAUGCUUCCAGGGAUACAUGAUCAUCUAAAGUUUGUGCUAUAAAGAAGACAUUGAAAACUAUUGGUCAGAUUAAAGGCAACUUUAGUUUUACAAUUAGCAGUCCCUGAUCUAAGACCCAGGUAUGGUGAUAGCCAGCAUUAGAAGCUUAGGUUCUUUAUAGAGGUCUUGUUACUUUACAGCAUGGUUUAUUUACACUUAGCCUAAUCAACCUGGUUUUAAAAGCUGGUAGUGGAGGGAAGUGUAGCAUUGGGCCUUUGUGCAAGAUGAGCGUGCUGUUGUCCACAAACACCAAAAGUGGAUGGUAUAGGGUGUCAUGUGAUGUUAGAAAACAGUAUCCGCAUGGCUAGGGGUGCCGGGCUCUACUCAGAACCCAGUUGUCAGGUAACAUGGUAGUAGCAGUCAUCACCAUCAUGAAUAGCUGCAACAACCUGGGGUUGUGGUGUAAUCUUGUCCAUUUCUGACAAUGAACUUGCAGUGCAUUCAUAAUCCUUUCACUUGCUAUGUGUUCACUGCUGUGUUUAGCUUGUCCCAACUUUCUGUUCCUUUUUUUUUUGUUUGUCUAUCUUUUUGCUUAAACCAGUGUGUGCUUUUUUGUGAAUUUUAUGUGGUAAUAAUAAAGCCAUGUUAAUGAC
rnacentral:misc_RNA from 1 species